UUAAAACUCAAAUGAAUUGACGGGGGCCCGCACAAGCGGUGGAGCAUGUGGUUUAAUUCGAUGCAACGCGAAGAACCUUACCUGGUCUUGACAUCCACAGAACUUUCCAGAGAUGGAUUGGUGCCUUCGGGAACUGUGAGACAGGUGCUGCAUGGCUGUCGUCAGCUCGUGUUGUGAAAUGUUGGGUUAAGUCCCGCAACGAGCGCAACCCUUAUCCUUUGUUGCCAGCGGUCCGGCCGGGAACUCAAAGGAGACUGCCAGUGAUAAACUGGAGGAAGGUGGGGAUGACGUCAAGUCAUCAUGGCCCUUACGACCAGGGCUACACACGUGCUACAAUGGCGCAUACAAAGAGAAGCGACCUCGCGAGAGCAAGCGGACCUCAUAAAGUGCGUCGUAGUCCGGAUUGGAGUCUGCAACUCGACUCCAUGAAGUCGGAAUCGCUAGUAAUCGUAGAUCAGAAUGCUACGGUGAAUACGUUCCCGGGCCUUGUACACACCGCCCGUCACACCAUGGGAGUGGGUUGCAAAAGAAGUAGGUAGCUUAACCUUCGGGAGGGCGCUUACCACUUUGUGAUUCAUGACUGGGG
rnacentral:rRNA from 1 species